rnacentral:rRNA from 1 species
AGUAAUGCUUGGGNAUAUGCCUUGGAGUGGGGGACAACAGUUGGAAACGACUNCUAAUACCGCAUAACGUNCUUUUUGUAGUGAAAGUACNAAGGGGGGGAUCUUCGGACCUCCCNCUUCUUGAUUAGCCCAAGUGAGAUUAGCUAGUUGGUAAGGUAAAGGCUUACCAAGGCGACGAUCUCUAGCUNGUUUGAGAGGAUGAUCAGCCACACUGGGACUGAGACACGGCCCNGNCUCCUACGGGAGGCAGCAGUGGGGAAUAUUGCACAAUGGGCGAAAGCCNNAUGCAGCCAUGCCGCGUGUGUGAAGAAGGCCUUCGGGUUGUAAAGCACUUUCAGUUGUGAGGAAAGGUGCGYNAYNAAUAAAUGAUCACUGUGACGUUAGCAACAGAAGAAGCACCGGCUHACUUCGUGCCAGCAGCCNCSGUAAUACGAGGGUGCAAGCGUUAAUCGGAAUUACUGGGCGUAAAGCGUUCGUAGGCGGUUAUUUAAGCAAGAUGUGAAAGCCCAGGGCUCAACCUHGGAACUGCAUUUUGAACUGGGUAACUAGAGUACUCUAAGGGUGGUGGAAUUCCAGUGUAGCGGUGAAAUGCGUAGAGAUUGGAWGGANCAUCAGUGGCGAAGGCGGCCACCUGGACAGAUACUGACGCUGAGGAACGAAAGCGUGGGGAGCGAACAGGAUUAGAUACCCUGGUAGUCCACGCHGUWAACGAUGUCAACUNGCCGUUCGUGGACUUNAUCCGUGAGUGGCGCACGUAACGCACUWAGUUGACCG